rnacentral:rRNA from 1 species
UACGUAGGGGGCAAGCGUUGUCCGGAAUCAUUGGGCGUAAAGCGUGCGCAGGCGGCGCGUUAAGACAGGUGUGAAAGCCCCGAGCUUAACUUGGGAAUUGCGCUUGUGACUGGCGAGCUGGAGUGUGGCAGAGGGAGGUGGAAUUCCACGUGUAGCAGUGAAAUGCGUAGAGAUGUGGAGGAACACCGAUGGCGAAGGCAGCCUCCUGGGCCAGCACUGACGCUCAUGCACGAAAGCGUGGGGAGCAAACAGG